AGUCUGAUCCAGCCAUGCCGCGUGCAGGAUGACGGCCCUAUGGGUUGUAAACUGCUUUUAUACAGGAAGAAACACUCSUACGUGUACGAGCUUGACGGUACUGUAAGAAUAAGGACCGGCUAACUCCGUGCCAGCAGCCGCGGUAAUACGGAGGRUCCRAGCGUUAUCCGGAAUCAUUGGGUUUAAAGGGUCCGCAGGCGGYCUUUUAAGUCAGAGGUGAAAKCCYACAGCUCAACUGUAAAACUGCCUUUGAUACUGAAAGACUUGAAUUAUUAUGAAGUGRCUAGAAUGUGUGGUGUAGCGGUGAAAUGCUUAGAUAUCACAUGGAAUACCGAUUGCGAAGGCAGAUCACUACUAAUAUACUGGACGCUCAAKGGACCGAAAGCCGUGGGGUAGCCGAACAGGGAUUUAGAUACCCCUGGGUAGUCCCACGCCCGUAAAACCGAUGGGAUAC
rnacentral:rRNA from 1 species